AGGGAAUAUUGGGCAAUGGGCGAGAGCCUGACCCAGCCAUGCCGCGUGCCGGAUGAAGGCCUUCUGGGUUGUAAACGGCUUUUCUCAGGGAAGAAAAAGGGGAUGCGUCCCAAACUGACGGUACCUGAGGAAUAAGCACCGGCUAACUCCGUGCCAGCAGCCGCGGUAAUACGGAGGGUGCAAGCGUUGUCCGGAUUUAUUGGGUUUAAAGGGUGCGUAGGUGGCCCGUUAAGUCCGGGGUGAAAGCCCACAGCUCAACUGUGGAACUGCCCUGGAUACUGGCGGGCUUGAGAGUCGUCGAGGGUGGCGGAAUGGACGGUGUAGCGGUGAAAUGCAUAGAUACCGUCCAGAACCCCAAUUGCGUAGGCAGCUGCCUAGGCGACAUCUGACACUGAGGCACGAAAGCGUGGGGAGCGAA
rnacentral:rRNA from 1 species